AUCCUUUUCUGGUUCAUAAGCAUGAUGAUUGGGUUCUCACAUGCUUGUGCGGCAUGUACCUCCCUCUAAACUUUGUUAUGACAUUAGCACAUUACCCAUCUGACA